rnacentral:tRNA from 1 species
AUAGAUAAAGCGGUUAGACGCGCAGAAGUUAAAAUUUUGAUUGUUGUUUUGUAUAUCUAUA